AUUGAACGCUGGCGGCAGGCCUAACACAUGCAAGUCGAGCGGUAGCACAGAGAGCUUGCUCUCGGGUGACGAGCGGCGGACGGGUGAGUAAUGUCUGGGAAACUGCCCGAUGGAGGGGGAUAACUACUGGAAACGGUAGCUAAUACCGCAUAACGUCGCAAGACCAAAGUGGGGGACCUUCGGGCCUCAUGCCAUCAGAUGUGCCCAGAUGGGAUUAGCUGGUAGGUGGGGUAACGGCUCACCUAGGCGACGAUCCCUAGCUGGUCUGAGAGGAUGACCAGCCACACUGGAACUGAGACACGGUCCAGACUCCUACGGGAGGCAGCAGUGGGGAAUAUUGCACAAUGGGCGCAAGCCUGAUGCAGCCAUGCCGCGUGUGUGAAGAAGGCCUUCGGGUUGUAAAGCACUUUCAGCGGGGAGGAAGGCGAUAAGGUUAAUAACCUUGUCGAUUGACGUUACCCGCAGAAGAAGCACCGGCUAACUCCGUGCCAGCAGCCGCGGUAAUACGGAGGGUGCAAGCGUUAAUCGGAAUUACUGGGCGUAAAGCGCACGCAGGCGGUCUGUCAAGUCGGAUGUGAAAUCCCCGGGCUCAACCUGGGAACUGCAUUCGAAACUGGCAGGCUAGAGUCUUGUAGAGGGGGGUAGAAUUCCAGGUGUAGCGGUGAAAUGCGUAGAGAUCUGGAGGAAUACCGGUGGCGAAGGCGGCCCCCUGGACAAAGACUGACGCUCAGGUGCGAAAGCGUGGGGAGCAAACAGGAUUAGAUACCCUGGUAGUCCACGCUGUAAACGAUGUCGAUUUGGAGGUUGUGCCCUUGAGGCGUGGCUUCCGGAGCUAACGCGUUAAAUCGACCGCCUGGGGAGUACGGCCGCAAGGUUAAAACUCAAAUGAAUUGACGGGGGCCCGCACAAGCGGUGGAGCAUGUGGUUUAAUUCGAUGCAACGCGAAGAACCUUACCUGGUCUUGACAUCCACAGAACUUUCCAGAGAUGGAUUGGUGCCUUCGGGAACUGUGAGACAGGUGCUGCAUGGCUGUCGUCAGCUCGUGUUGUGAAAUGUUGGGUUAAGUCCCGCAACGAGCGCAACCCUUAUCCUUUGUUGCCAGCGGUUAGGCCGGGAACUCAAAGGAGACUGCCAGUGAUAAACUGGAGGAAGGUGGGGAUGACGUUAAGUCAUCAUGGCCCUUACGACCAGGGCUACACACGUGCUACAAUGGCAUAUACAAAGAGAAGCGACCUCGCGAGAGCAAGCGGACCUCAUAAAGUAUGUCGUAGUCCGGAUUGGAGUCUGCAACUCGACUCCAUGAAGUCGGAAUCGCUAGUAAUCGUAGAUCAGAAUGCUACGGUGAAUACGUUCCCGGGCCUUGUACACACCGCCCGUCACACCAUGGGAGUGGGUUGCAAAAGAAGUAGGUAGCUUAACCUUCGGGAGGGCGCUUACCACUUUGUGAUUCAUGACUGGGGUG
rnacentral:rRNA from 1 species